rnacentral:ncRNA from 2 species
AGGGAACCCCGUGAGAAUCGGGGACUGACGCGCAGCGGUAACGCAGACGGGCAAGUAGCAAGCCACUGGGAACAACCCGGGAAGGCGCUCGUUCGGAUGAUGCCAAGUCCGAAAACCU